AAAUAAUAUUAAAACAAUCUUUGGUUUAUAUUCUAAAUAUUAUUGUGGAUAUGCAUAAUCGACUAAUUAGUUGGUUAAGGAUUAGGAUGAAACUGUAACUAAACUUUAGAUGAGGCAUAAUAUUUUGAAUAUUUUGAUGCUAAUCUUUAAAGCAUACUUAUCUUUAUUUACUAUAAAUUUCGAGAACACAUCUAAGUCAUCCACAACAGAGUUAAAUAUAAUUAUUCUACUGGUGGCAAGCGUGAGAGAGUAUGCAUGCGGUAGUAAAACACAGUACAUGAUUGGAUAGAUUUUGGUGCAAUAUACAAGGUGUAGCAUAUUAUUAAGGAAGGUGCGACGAGAAAGUUACAUACUGGUAAUUCUUGGUAAAUGGUGGAGGUUUGAUUCAAAUCUUCAUACCCAAAUAUAUUUGUUACACUUAUAAAAUUAUAUUAAUUGUGUUGAAUUUAUUUCAGGUUCAUAAUUAGUAUACUAAUUAUACGCUGUGCUGCAUUCAUCAUUUUGAGAGCAUUCUAUUUCGAUUCAUAAGGAGGAGUAGCUUCAGUUUUGAUCACAACUAAAUUAGUGUUGUUAUAUCAGGUAAUCAGGGGUAGCGGGGAUCGUGAUGAGUGACACCCACCUUUAGUUGCUUUCGUUGUUAGGGGCUAUAAUAAGACUUUAGAGCUUAUAUUUCUAUUGAUUUCAGACUUUGUUGGAUUUAUUAUCAUGGAGUUUCAGACUUUAUUAUCCAUAUUGACAUUUUGGUUGUUAAAUUAUUAUAUUAUUUCUGAAUGAA